rnacentral:rRNA from 1 species
AUUGAACGCUGGCGGCAGGCCUAACACAUGCAAGUCGAACGGUAGCACAGAGAGCUUGCUCUCGGGUGACGAGUGGCGGACGGGUGAGUAAUGUCUGGGAAACUGCCCGAUGGAGGGGGAUAACUACUGGAAACGGUAGCUAAUACCGCAUAAUGUCGCAAGACCAAAGAGGGGGACCUUCGGGCCUCUUGCCAUCGGAUGUGCCCAGAUGGGAUUAGCUUGUUGGUGAGGUAAUGGCUCACCAAGGCGACGAUCCCUAGCUGGUCUGAGGGGAUGACCAGCCACACUGGAACUGAGACACGGUCCAGACUCCUACGGGAGGCAGCAGUGGGGAAUAUUGCACAAUGGGCGCAAGCCUGAUGCAGCCAUGCCGCGUGUGUGAAGAAGGCCUUCGGGUUGUAAAGCACUUUCAGCGGGGAGGAAGGCAAUGCGGUUAAUAACCGUGUUGAUUGACGUUACCCGCAGAAGAAGCACCGGCUAACUCCGUG